AACACAGACGUCCCGGCUGCUUUUAGCAUCUCAGAAGCCCAAACCGGCUGUGACCAAUAUGGAGGCGACCUAACCUCCAAGCUGAGCUUUCUUUGUCUCCAGCAGGGCAGGCGCUGAGGACUUACACAAAAUAAACAUGCAUCAGGAUCCUCAAAGACAAGAAAAGAUUGAGAAAACGUGGAAGGUGGCAAAGGCUAAGGAGAAAUAACAACUGAAUGUAAAGCAGAUCCUGGAUCAGAAAAAAAGACAUUAGUGGGAAAAUGGCAGAAUUUCCAUUAAGAUCUGCAGCUCAGUUUAUAAUGUUGUACCACCGUGAAGUUUCUGUUCUCAAAAUAUCUACAAUUAGUUAUGUGGUUCCCUUUAGAGCAAGAGGGCUUGUGAGAUGUUAUGAAGACUGUACAUGGCCUAUUGUUGUACCUCUUCUAUAAUAUGAAAGUGAGUUGACAACUCCUUCAGGGACAAUCACAUUCACACAUUCAAUGAAGACUUGAGACAAGGAUCCUACCGCACAUCCUAGGCUCCCCUUGCCACCUCUUCAGACUGGAUCUGCAAAAUGAGGACUGAGCAGAUCACCUCCACAUUUCUUCCACGCUACAAUUCUAUGAAUUGGAAAUGAGGAGACUUCAGUAGGAUCCAUACCAUAGAGUUGUGAGGGGUGAAUGAGAGAAGCCAUGUAAAGCAUGAAGCCCAGGAAUAGGAACAAAAUGGAACCUUCCCAGAACAUGGGUGAGACCCCUGCAGACAUGCUGGAUACCCUCCCGGGGUAGAGCCCUCAGCCCCACUGAAGGGUACUGGAAGGAGGAAGUAUAGGAUACCCGGCAGGGAAUCAAGUGGUUCCUGCAGGAUCAGUGCCUCCACAAUGACCAAGGUUUAGACCAAGACUUCAGGGUGCUAAAGGUGGUGAAGUAUCAAAAGGAAAACACGGAAAUGGACUUCCACUCCAACCAUGAUGGAGUCACAAGGACCAGAUUUACCUUUGCUGCUUCAUUCAACAAAUGAAAAACAGGAAAAAAUAAGUAAAAAAACAUUUGAAAACAGGCAAAGCAGGGGAAAAAUCCCUGAGAGAAGGAGAAAAGGAGGGAAGUCCUGCGACUGUCCUAGUGUACUUCCUGUAGAGACUUUUGCAAGCCACAGCAGAGGAAAGGGUAAAGUAAACAGUCUUCCUGAACUGAAAAGAUAAGAGUUGAGAAUUCAGGAAGGCCGAAGUGGCUAGAAUUCCAAGAAAUUAUACAGCCGAUAGAAUUCAUGGAAAAGGUUGUCAAAUAGGCUACUCUAAAUAAAACGUCACGUAUUCAAGAAGACAGAAGGUGCUGUCAAAUGUGCAAGGAAGCCUCCUGAAAGGAAGGAGGGGCAUGGGAGGGUGCCAGUGAAGCUCUCAGAAUGAUGAAUGCCACUGGAUAGCCCAGCCGCCUGUGAGUGCUAUCAGAACUCACAAGAGAUUGUGUAUCCCACAUGUAUCCUGCUGGCUAUGGUUCAUCAUCCGAGUAAGAAUUGAAAAGUGUUUCAGAACCAGGAAGAAAAGCCCCACUUUCAUGCAGUGUCUCUCCACUCCCAUCUAGUAAAAAGCUUAACACUAGCCCAGCUGUCAGUAGGGAAUGUUUACAUGGCUCAGCUCCAAUACUGCAAAGCAAGUCAAGGAAGGAUAGAUUUGCUAGGAAAUAAAUUGAUAAAGCACAAGAGUAUCCAAAACAUUAUAUCUUUUGAUUUCCACCUCUGACAAAGAAGAUUCAACCUGAAGGUUCACCAAAGAGAAACAGAGAUCUCUAUCAGCAUCAAUAAAAGGACAAUGAAAAUACAGCUCGUGAAUAGAAGCCCAACUCUCUUCAGAUUUUACCAGUAAGAUGUCACAUUUCCAUUCCUGUUUUUCCACAUUUAAUUUCUAGACUUAGAAAUAUCAUAAUUUGGAAAUUACAGUAAAGAAUAUAUGCUGGUCUUAAC